AUCCAAGAAGCCAAGUUGGUAUUGUUCUUUGAUGUCGCCGAAGAAACGUUGGUCAAGAGACUCUUGCAUCGCGCUCAAACCAGUGGAAGAGCCGAUGACAACGCUGACACUAUCAAAAAGCGUCUCCAUACCUUUGUUACCUCCACUGCCCCAGUUGUUGAUUACUACGAGUCCAAAGGAAAACUUGUUAGAAUCAAUGCCGAAGGUUCCGUUGAUGAUAUUUUUGCUGUCGUAGUGGCAAACCUCGAUAAAGCAACAUCUAAGCUCUAA
rnacentral:misc_RNA from 1 species